rnacentral:rRNA from 1 species
GUAGGAGGCGAGCGUUAUCCGGAGUUACUGGGCGUAAAGAGCGUGUAGGCGGGUAUGCAAGUCUGGCGUGAAAGCUCCCGGCUAAACUGGGAGAGUGCGCUGGAGACUGCGUAUCUAGAGGCGAGUAGAGGGACGUGGAAUUCCGGGUGUAGUGGUGAAAUGCGUAGAGAUCCGGAGGAACACCAGUGGCGAAGGCGACGUCCUGGGCUUGACCUGACGCUGAGACGCGACAGCACGGGGAGCGAACGGGAUUAGAAACCCCGGUAGUCCGUGCCGUAAACGAUGCACACUAGGUGUUCGGAUGCCUACGGGCAUUUGAGUGCCGCAGCCAACGCGAUAAGUGUGCCGCCUGGGGAGUACGGUCGCAAGGCUAAA